AAUUGAGGGGGGCUGCUCCUAGUACGAGAGGACCGGAGUGGACGCAUCACUGGUGUUCGGGUUGUCAUGCCAAUGGCACUGCCCGGUAGCUAAAUGCGGAAAAGAUAAGUGCUGAAAGCAUCUAAGCACGAAACUUGCCCCGAGAUGAGUUCUCCCUGAGACCUUGAGUCUCCUGAAGGAACGUUAAAGACGAUGACGUUGAUAGGCCGGGUGUGUAAGCGCAGCGAUGCGUUGAGCUAACCGGUACUAAUGAACCGUGAGGCUUAACCUUACAACGCCGAAGCUGUU
rnacentral:rRNA from 1 species